GUGACUGCGUACCUUUUGUAUAAUGGGUCAGCGACUUAUAUUCUGUAGCAAGGUUAACCGAAUAGGGGAGCCGGAGGGAAACCGAGUCUUAAUUGGGCGUUAAGUUGCAGGGUAUAGACCCGAAACCCGGUGAUCUAGCCAUGGGCAGGUUGAAGGUUGGGUAACACUAACUGGAGGACCGAACCGACUAAUGUUGAAAAAUUAGCGGAUGACCUGUGGCUGGGGGUGAAAGGCCAAUCAAACCGGGAGAUAGCUGGUUCUCCCCGAAAGCUAUUUAGGUAGCGCCUCGUGAAUUCAUCUCCGGGGGUAGAGCACUGUUUCGGCUAGGGGGCCAUCCCGGCUUACCAACCCGAUGCAAACUGCGAAUACCGGAGAAUGUUAUCACGGGAGACACACGGCGGGUGCUAACGUCCGUCGUGAAGAGGGAAACAACCCAGACCGCCAGCUAAGGUCCCAAAGUCAUGGUUAAGUGGGAAACGAUGUGGGAAGGCCCAGACAGCCAGGAUGUUGGCUUAGAAGCAGCCAUCAUUUAAAGAAAGCGUAAUAGCUCACUGGUCGAGUCGGCCUGCGCGGAAGAUGUAACGGGGCUAAACCAUGCACCGAAGCUGCGGCAGCGACACUCAGGUGUUGUUGGGUAGGGGAGCGUUCUGUAAGCCUGUGAAGGUGGCCUGUGAGGGUUGCUGGAGGUAUCAGAAGUGCGAAUGCUGACAUAAGUAACGAUAAAGCGGGUGAAAAGCCCGCUCGCCGGAAGACCAAGGGUUCCUGUCCAACGUUAAUCGGGGCAGGGUGAGUCGACCCCUAAGGCGAGGCCGAAAGGCGUAGUCGAUGGGAAACGGGUUAAUAUUCCCGUACUUGGUGUUACUGCGAAGGGGGGACGGAGAAGGCUAUGUUGGCCGGGCGACGGUUGUCCCGGUUUAAGCGUGUAGGCUGGUUUUCCAGGCAAAUCCGGAAAAUCAAGGCUGAGGCGUGACGACGAGGCACUACGGUGCUGAAGCAACAAAUGCCCUGCUUCCAGGAAAAGCCUCUAAGCAUCAGGUAACAUCAAAUCGUACCCCAAACCGACACAGGUGGUCAGGUAGAGAAUACCAAGGCGCUUGAGAGAACUCGGGUGAAGGAACUAGGCAAAAUGGUGCCGUAACUUCGGGAGAAGGCACGCUGACACGUAGGUGAAGUGAUUUACUCAUGGAGCUGAAGUCAGUCGAAGAUACCAGCUGGCUGCAACUGUUUAUUAAAAACACAGCACUGUGCAAACACGAAAGUGGACGUAUACGGUGUGACGCCUGCCCGGUGCCGGAAGGUUAAUUGAUGGGGUCAGCGCAAGCGAAGCUCCUGAUCGAAGCCCCGGUAAACGGCGGCCGUAACUAUAACGGUCCUAAGGUAGCGAAAUUCCUUGUCGGGUAAGUUCCGACCUGCACGAAUGGCGUAAUGAUGGCCAGGCUGUCUCCACCCGAGACUCAGUGAAAUUGAACUCGCUGUGAAGAUGCAGUGUACCCGCGGCAAGACGGAAAGACCCCGUGAACCUUUACUAUAGCUUGACACUGAACAUUGAGCCUUGAUGUGUAGGAUAGGUGGGAGGCUUUGAAGCGUGGACGCCAGUCUGCGUGGAGCCGACCUUGAAAUACCACCCUUUAAUGUUUGAUGUUCUAACGUGGACCCGUGAUCCGGGUUGCGGACAGUGUCUGGUGGGUAGUUUGACUGGGGCGGUCUCCUCCUAAAGAGUAACGGAGGA
rnacentral:rRNA from 1 species